rnacentral:lncRNA from 1 species
UCUUUGCUGAAGGCUCUGCAAUGUAGAUUCAUUUGUCUUUUUAGCAAUACAGAGAUGAAUGCAACCCCGAUGUAACUGUGAGUGGUGCGCAGCCACACUGGCAUCACGUGGCAUGAGCAUGCAUGGCCACACCUAACAGGGAAGAGGGAAUGAAUGACGUCCACUUACUGCACCCCAGCUCUCAGUGCCCCUGCGCUACAGCACCGUUCUCAGAGGCUCAUGGCAGGGGCAGCAGCAGUGCCCGGAGCCCGUCUCUCCACCCCACAGCAGCAGAGCUGCUAG